rnacentral:tRNA from 1 species
GAAGAUAUAGUUCAGUGGUAGAGAGCAUGCUUAGCACUCACAAGGUCCUGGGUUCAAUCCCCAGUACCUCCA